rnacentral:siRNA from 1 species
UAAUCCAAUUUCGAGGUGCAGU